rnacentral:rRNA from 1 species
UACGUAGGCAGCGAGCGUUGUUCGGAGUUACUGGGCGUAAAGGGUGUGUAGGCGGUCCCUUAAGUUUGGUGUGAAAUCUCCCGGCUCAACUGGGAGGGUGCGCCGGAUACUGAGGGGCUAGAGUGCGGGAAGGGAAAGUGGAAUUCCUGGUGUAGAGGUGAAAUUCGUAGAUAUCGGGAGGAACACCGGUGGCGAAGGCGGCGAUCUGGGUAGAUACUGACGCUGAGGUGCGAAAGCGUGGGGAGCAAACAGG